UGGCUUUUUUGCCCACAACAUCACACUGCAAGCUCAUGUUCAGCUGAUUGUCCACCAUGACUCUCAAAUUCUUUUCAGCGUCACUGCUUCACAAGAUAUAGUCUCACCAUCAUGGUUGCACUUUUCAGCCAAAUGGAGCAAAUCACAUCUGACCACUAAUUCAUCCCCCUGGGUCUAAUUCUAACAUACAUCAACCUGAGCAGCUUCAAACAAGCCUCCAUCCUUCAUGGUGCCAGAUCCCUGAACCAUCAUAGAAUCUCACUGACAUCAGAGAGGCUCUGCAUGGUUGCAGGUGUCCAUCUGGGAAAAAUAGGUUGCAUGGCUUAGACUGCAGAUUGCAAACAUGUUUGUGCAGUGCCUAGCACAAUGGGACCUGACUGAGAUACCUGGGCACUUCCAGAA